UCUAAUCUAAGUUUUGACGCGCUGAAAUGAGAUGAAAACAAGAAAAAACAUGACUAUUAUUCAAAAUCAGGAUUUCAGCCCAAGCAUUCACAUUUUCAAAUGACAUUAGUUUAUUAUUUAUGCAUAUUAAGAGUAUGGAAGUGGAAAGUAAUAAAAACACCUCUAUAUCUAUUGUAGAAGUAAAAGAAAACAAAAUAAAAGAAGCCAAACAACAAUGUAACCAUUUAAACACCUAUCAAAGUCAACAAACAUAAGUCCAAGUUCCUAUUUCAAGCCCUAAAAUGAGUCUCCAAUGUUCAAAGAACUACAUUAAUUCAAACACUCUAGACAGAAAACAUGAUGUAGCAAUUCGAAUGAAAACAGAACAGAAACAGAAAGAAGAGAAAAACAAUCAGCAGGUAGAGAGAUCUUCAUUUCUUCACAACAAAUGAAUCAGCCUUUAUAUUUUAGGAUCAAGGUAUGUACCUGGGAAUGAAAGGCAAAGGGAAAAGUGAGGAAUCAAUAGUAUCAAGAGCAGAAAUUAGCACCAGCAACAGAACAGCCCAGGUUCAACCAAAAUCAGCAACGAAAUCAAUCCAGAAGAAAGAAACCAAUCCAACAACUUAAAUCGGAUCUUUCAAUACCCAAGCUUAAACCAUUUUUAACCUUGAAUAAAAUUAGAUGUUGUUCAGGAAUGAAAAAAACUUCAAAGUUCAAUGCAAAAAUUUCAAUGGAACAACAUUUACUCUAAUUUUUCAGUUCUCUCAAGUCUGUCUUGAAUAACAAGGUAGAGUGCUUUAUAUCCAAGGCGUUUAGGGCAGCCCUCAAAAUCAGUUUUUUCACUUUUGACCCUUUUUAUGUUUUCAUUUUUUCCUAGAUACCCCUUAGUCUAGUUCUCAACUUUCAAAAUAACCUUUUUCCCAGUUCCUAGAAGCUUCCCAAGCAGUUAUAAAUAGAUUCCCUAGCUAGACUACCUAAAUUACCCUUAAAACCCCUAAAAUUACCCAAAUAGACUAAAUGGGUAUGGGUCAAGUUGACCCAAGAGUUCAAUUAAACUGAGCCUAGGCCUAAACCAUGCUGACUACCGGCUUUCCCCCUUCCCCACUUUGGGCUUCCUCUUUUCAGAGCCCAAAUGAAAUUAAAGAAAAUGGGCAGAGCAGUUUUAUAGAACAAGUUUAUAAAAACUACAACAAUUCCGAAGAUGUGAACAACGAGACUUCAGACACAAACAAAAAAAAUGAAAAGGCACAAACAGAAAAGAAAAAGAAAUCAUCAUGAACAAAUAAUGAUUUUCCAAACUGACAAUGUUAACUUAUAACACAAGAAUUGAUGCUUGAAACCAAACUAAUACAACGAGCAACUAAAUUAGAAAAGACUAAAAACUACAGUAAAGAGGGGAAGGAUUUACGAAGCUCUACUAGAUAAUUGACGACUCAGCGAAAUUGACGACUAAAGAGGAUCCGGUAAAUGGCGAGAAUUGUAGCAUAGGCAUUAACCGGAAUUUCUUCGACAGUUAAUGCUCCAUAUCACAAUCCUCAACACCUACUUUGAAAUGAGAUGAAUUAAAAACUUGGAACACAGAUUGUUUUGACCAAAAACUGGCUACCAUGACGGGCCUUGAAAUUGAUUAACUAACAAGCCAAUCCCGCGUGAUAUCACCAAAUAAAAACAAAUAAGGGGAAAGAUCAAGGAAAGUAAAGCCCCCCCCCCCCAAAUUUCUGUCUUCCGAGAUUUGGAUUUCUCGAAAAUCGGGUGACUUCUGGAGAAAAUCGUGGUAGAUUUGGAUUGAGGAUGCAAUAAGGAAUAUCUAGUCAAAUUUAGAUAGAGUUUGGAGAUCAACCGCCACAGCUAACGAUUUUAGGUGGCGGUGGACGGUGGUGAGAGAUGAGACUGACAAAGGCGAUAUAACUAGGGUUUUAGGUCAUUUGGUCGUUUGGAUAGUUUUAUGUGAAAAUGAUAAAGUCCCUAUGGAUGUUAGAUGGAGAAGAAUGAAGAGCCAUGAUCUCUUUUCGAC
rnacentral:lncRNA from 1 species